rnacentral:rRNA from 1 species
CCUACGGGUGGCAGCAGUGAGGAAUAUUGGGCAAUGGCCGGAAGGCUGAACCAGCCAAGCCGCGUGAAGGACGAAGGUGCCAAGCAUUGUAAACUUCUUUUGUCAAGGGACAAAAUCAGGCUCGAGAGCCUGACCGAGGGUACGUUAAGAAAAAGCAUCGGCUAACUCCGUGCCAGCAGCCGCGGUAAUAUGGGGGAUGCGAGCGUUAUCCGGAUUUAUUGGGUUUAAAGGGUGCGUAGGGGGACUGUUAAGUCAGCGGUAAAAGCCCGGGGCUCAACCCCGACGCGCCGUUGAAACUGGCUGUCUUGAGAUGUCGAGAGGUAUGCGGAAUGCGAAGUGUAGCGGUGAAAUGCGUAGAUAUUGCGAGGAACUCCGAUUGCGAAGGCAGCAUACCGGCGGCGAUCUGACGCUGAGGCACGAAAGCGUGGGUAUCGAACAGGAUUAGAUACCCUAGUAGUC